rnacentral:rRNA from 1 species
UACGGAGGAUGCAAGCGUUAUCCGGAAUCAUUGGGCGUAAAGGGUCCUGAGGUGGCCUGCCCAGUCUACUGUGAAAGAUCAGGGCUCAACCCUGAAGAUGCGGUAGAAACUAGCAGGCUAGGAUACGGUAGGGGCAGGGGGAAUUCCCGGUGUAGCGGUGAAAUGCAUAGAUAUCGGGAGGAACACCAAAGGCGAAGGCACCCUGCUGGGCCGAUAUUGACACUGACAGACGAGAGCUAGGGGAGCGAAUGGG